rnacentral:lncRNA from 1 species
AAUAAGGUCAGUGUGCUAGCUAUAUUUGGCAUUCACUACAGAAGAACCCAUGUAGCAUAGAACAGAUGCUUUAAAUGAGAAUGAAAUUAUACGUCUACAAAGGCUGAAAUAUCACGACUGGCAAAGAAGAAUAGAAGUGGACUCAGUGUUUCUCUGCAGCUAAGAGGUGAAAAUGAUAGUCAUAGAAGAGAAGAUAGCUAAAAGACUGGGAGCUGCUAAUAGCAAACACACAGAACUGACAUAUCUUCUAAUGUGACAAAGAACAGGAUGAGAGAAUGCUACUGAGCCUUGUGGAAAUGAGGCAAGCACUACUAAGACAGAAAAGCA